UACAGGGGGUGCAAACGUUGCUCGGAAUCAUUGGGCGUAAAGCGCACGUAGGCGGUUCGUUAUGUCGGAUGUGAAAGCCCUUGGCUUAACCGAGGAAGUGCAUCCGAAACUGGCGAGCUAGAGUACGAAAGAGGAUCGCGGAAUUCCCGGUGUAGAGGUGAAAUUCGUAGAUAUCGGGAGGAACACCAGUGGCGAAGGCGGCGACCUGGACGGACACUGACGCUGAGACGCGAAAGCGUGGGGAGCAAACAGG
rnacentral:rRNA from 1 species